AGUGAACGCUGGCGGUAGGCCUAACACAUGCAAGUCGAACGGCAGCACAGUAAGAGCUUGCUCUUACGGGUGGCGAGUGGCGGACGGGUGAGGAAUACAUCGGAAUCUACUUUUUCGUGGGGGAUAACGUAGGGAAACUUACGCUAAUACCGCAUACGACCUACGGGUGAAAGCAGGGGAUCUUCGGACCUUGCGCGAUUGAAUGAGCCGAUGUCGGAUUAGCUAGUUGGCGGGGUAAAGGCCCACCAAGGCGACGAUCCGUAGCUGGUCUGAGAGGAUGAUCAGCCCCACUGGAACUGAGACACGGUCCAGACUCCUACGGGAGGCAGCAGUGGGGAAUAUUGGACAAUGGGCGCAAGCCUGAUCCAGCCAUACCGCAUGGGUGAAGAAGGCCUUCGGGUUGUAAAGCCCUUUUGUUGGGAAAGAAAAGCAGCAGGUUAAUACCCCGCUGUUCUGACGGUACCCAAAGAAUAAGCACCGGCUAACUUCGUG
rnacentral:rRNA from 1 species